GACGAACGCUGGCGGCGUGCUUAACACAUGCAAGUCGAACGGAAAGGCCCUGCUUUUGUGGGGUGCUCGAGUGGCGAACGGGUGAGUAACACGUGAGUAACCUGCCCUUGACUUUGGGAUAACUUCAGGAAACUGGGGCUAAUACCGGAUAGGAGCUCCUGCUGCAUGGUGGGGGUUGGAAAGUUUCGGCGGUUGGGGAUGGACUCGCGGCUUAUCAGCUUGUUGGUGGGGUAGUGGCUUACCAAGGCUUUGACGGGUAGCCGGCCUGAGAGGGUGACCGGCCACAAUGGGACUGAGAUACGGCCCAGACUCCUACGGGAGGCAGCAGUAGGGAAUAUUGCACAAUGGGCGGAAGCCUGAUGCAGCAACGCCGCGUGCGGGAUGACGGCCUUCGGGUUGUAAACCGCUUUCGCCUGUGACGAAGCGUGAGUGACGGUAAUGGGUAAAGAAGCACCGGCUAACUACGUG
rnacentral:rRNA from 1 species